GAUGAACGCUGGCGGCGUGCUUAACACAUGCAAGUCGAACGAUGACCCGGUGCUUGCACCGGUGAUUAGUGGCGAACGGGUGAGUAACACGUGAGUAACCUGCCCUUGACUCUGGGAUAAGCCUGGGAAACUGGGUCUAAUACCGGAUAUGACUCCUCAUCGCAUGGUGGGGGUGGAAAGCUUUUGUGGUUUUGGAUGGACUCGCGGCCUAUCAGCUUGUUGGUGAGGUAAUGGCUUACCAAGGCGACGACGGGUAGCCGGCCUGAGAGGGUGACCGGCCACACUGGGACUGAGACACGGCCCAGACUCCUACGGGUGGCUG
rnacentral:rRNA from 1 species